rnacentral:rRNA from 1 species
UCAACAAGGUUUCCGUAGGUGAACCUGCGGAAGGAUCAU